ACGAUGAAUCUUCUAGCUUGCUAGAAGUGGAUUAGUGGCGCACGGGUGAGUAAUGCAUAGGUUAUGUGCCCUUUAGUCUGGGAUAGCCACUGGAAACGGUGAUUAAUACUGGAUACUCCCUACGGGGGAAAGUUUUUCGCUAAAGGAUCAGCCUAUGUCCUAUCAGCUUGUUGGUGAGGUAAUGGCUCACCAAGGCUAUGACGGGUAUCCGGCCUGAGAGGGUGAUCGGACACACUGGAACUGAGACACGGUCCAGACUCCUACGGGAGGCAGCAGUAGGGAAUAUUGCUCAAUGGGGGAAACCCUGAAGCAGCAACGCCGCGUGGAGGAUGAAGGUUUUAGGAUUGUAAACUCCUUUUGUUAGAGAAGAUUAUGACGGUAUCUAACGAAUAAGCACCGGCUAACUCCGUGCCAGCAGCCGCGGUAAUACGGAGGGUGCAAGCGUUACUCGGAAUCACUGGGCGUAAAGAGUGCGUAGGCGGGGUAAUAAGUCAGAUGUGAAAUCCUGUAGCUUAACUACAGAACUGCAUUUGAAACUGUUACCCUGGAGUGUGGGAGAGGUAGGUGGAAUUCUUGGUGUAGGGGUAAAAUCCGUAGAGAUCAAGAGGAAUACUCAUUGCGAAGGCGACCUGCUGGAACAUUACUGACGCUGAUGCACGAAAGCGUGGGGAGCAAACAGGAUUAGAUACCCUGGUAGUCCACGCCCUAAACGAUGGAUGCUAGUUGUUGCCUUGCUUGUCAGGGCAGUAAUGCAGCUAACGCAUUAAGCAUCCCGCCUGGGGAGUACGGUCGCAAGAUUAAAACUCAAAGGAAUAGACGGGGACCCGCACAAGCGGUGGAGCAUGUGGUUUAAU
rnacentral:rRNA from 1 species